rnacentral:lncRNA from 1 species
UUUUAGGUCAAUGUACGGCCUUCAACACGGAGCCUUGGCUCAUACCGAACAACAAGCUAUAAAGGGCCCCAAAAUGACUAGUGUAAAACCAAUCAAACGGGAAACCAACGUUCUAAUCUAUAUAAAAAACGAGAAACGAGAAACACGUAUAAAUUACAUAAACAAACGACAACUACUGUACAUCAGAUUCCUGACUUAGGACAGGUGCAAACAUUUGAAACGGGAUUAAACGUUUUAAUGGUACUAAACCUUCUCCCUUUUUCUGAAACAAUAGCAUAACAUCACAACAUAGAAAAACACACGAUAAAAUAUCAAUUGGCA